rnacentral:rRNA from 1 species
GACGAACGCUGGCGGCGUGCUUAACACAUGCAAGUCGAGCGGUAAGGCCCUUUCGGGGGUACACGAGCGGCGAACGGGUGAGUAACACGUGGGUGACCUGCCCUCAGCUCUGGGAUAAGCCUGGGAAACCGGGUCUAAUACCGGAUAUGACUCCAUGACGCAUGUUGUGGGGUGGAAAGCCUUGUGCGGCUGAGGAUGGGCCCGCGGCCUAUCAGCUUGUUGGUGGGGUGAUGGCCUACCAAGGCGACGACGGGUAGCCGGCCUGAGAGGGCGACCGGCCACACUGGGACUGAGACACGGCCCAGACCCCUACGGGAGGCAGCAGUGAGGAAUCUUGCGCAAUGGGCGAAAGCCUGACGCAGCGACGCCGCGUGGAGGAUGAAGGUCUUCGGAUCGUAAACUCCUGUCGAGCGGGACGAAUCCCGAGAGGGUGAACAAUCCUUUCGGUUGAC